rnacentral:rRNA from 1 species
UGGGGAAUCUUCCGCAAUGGACGAAAGUCUGACGGAGCAACGCCGCGUGAGUGAUGACGGCCUUCGGGUUGUAAAGCUCUGUUAAUCGGGACGAAUGGUUCUUGUGCAAAUAGUGCGAGGAUUUGACGGUACCGGAAUAGAAAGCCACGGCUAACUACGUGCCAGCAGCCGCGGUAAUACGUAGGUGGCAAGCGUUGUCCGGAAUUAUUGGGCGUAAAGCGCGCGCAGGCGGAUUGGUCAGUCUGUCUUAAAAGUUCGGGGCUUAACCCCGUGAUGGGAUGGAAACUGCCAAUCUAGAGUAUCGGAGAGGAAAGUGGAAUUCCUAGUGUAGCGGUGAAAUGCGUAGAUAUUAGGAAGAACACCAGUGGCGGAGGCGACUUUCUGGACGAAAACUGACGCUGAGGCGCGAAAGCCAGGGGAGCGAACGGGAUUAGAUACCCCGGUAGUCCUGGCCGUAAACGAUGGGUACUAGGUGUAGGAGGUAUCGACCCCUUCUGUGCCGGAGUUAACGCAAUAAGUACCCCGCCUGGGGAGUACGACCGCAAGGUUG